AACGAACGCUGGCGGCAGGCUUAACACAUGCAAGUCGAGCGCCCCGCGAGGGGAGCGGCAGACGGGUGAGUAACGCGUGGGAAUCUACCCAUCUCUACGGAAUAACGCAUGGAAACGUGUGCUAAUACCGUAUACGUCCUUCGGGAGAAAGAUUUAUCGGAGAUGGAUGAGCCCGCGUUGGAUUAGCUAGUUGGUGGGGUAAAGGCCUACCAAGGCGACGAUCCAUAGCUGGUCUGAGAGGAUGAUCAGCCACACUGGGACUGAGACACGGCCCAGACUCCUGCGGGAGGCAGCAGUGGGGAAUAUUGGACAAUGGGCGCAAGCCUGAUCCAGCCAUGCCGCGUGAGUGAUGAAGGCCCUAGGGUUGUAAAGCUCUUUCACCGGUGAAGAUAACGACGGUAACCGGAGAAGAAGCCCCGGCUAACUUCGUGCCAGCCGCCGCGGUAACAC
rnacentral:rRNA from 1 species